UAGCAAUCGGAAGUGGUUCCAAGAAAAGCCUCUAAGCUUCAGUCAUACGAGACCGUACCGCAAACCGACACAGGUGGGCGAGAUGAGUAUUCUAAGGCGCUUGAGAGAACUCGGGAGAAGGAACUCGGCAAAUUGGUACCGUAACUUCGGGAAAAGGUACGCCUCGGUAGCUUGGUCACUUUACUGUGAUAGGGCGAAAAGGUUGCAAUAAACUGGUGGCUGCGACUGUUUAAUAAAAACACAGCACUCUGCAAACACGAAAGUGGACGUAUAGGGUGUGACGCCUGCCCGGUGCUGGAAGAUUAAAUGAUGGGGUGCAAGCUCUUGAUUGAAGUCCCAGUAAACGGCGGCCGUAACUAUAACGGUCCUAAGGUAGCGAAAUUCCUUGUCGGGUAAGUUCCGACCUGCACGAAUGGCGUAACGAUGGCCACACUGUCUCCUCCCGAGACUCAGCGAAGUUGAAAUGUUUGUGAUGAUGCAAUCUACCCGCGGCUAGACGGAAAGACCCCAUGAACCUUUACUGUAGCUUUGCAUUGGACUUUGAAUCAAUCUGUGUAGGAUAGGUGGGAGGCUUUGAAGUAGGGACGCCAGUUCCUAUGGAGCCAUCCUUGAAAUACCACCCUGGUUCAUUUGAGGUUCUAACCUUGGUCCGUUAUCCGGAUCGGGGACAGUGCAUGGUAGGCAGUUUGACUGGGGCGGUCUCCUCCUAAAGUGUAACGGAGGAGUUCGAAGGUACGCUAGGUACGGUCGGACAUCGUGCUAAUAGUGCAAUGGCAUAAGCGUGCUUAACUGCGAGACCGACAAGUCGAGCAGGUACGAAAGUAGGACAUAGUGAUCCGGUGGUUCUGUAUGGAAGGGCCAUCGCUCAACGGAUAAAAGGUACUCUGGGGAUAACAGGCUGAUUCCUCCCAAGAGUUCAUAUCGACGGGGGAGUUUGGCACCUCGAUGUCGGCUCAUCACAUCCUGGGGCUGUAGCCGGUCCCAAGGGUAUGGCUGUUCGCCAUUUAAAGUGGUACGUGAGCUGGGUUUAAAACGUCGUGAGACAGUUUGGUCCCUAUCUGCCGUGGGCGUUGGAAAUUUGAAGGGGGCUGCUCCUAGUACGAGAGGACCGGAGUGGACGAACCUCUGGUGUACCGGUUGUCACGCCAGUGGCAUUGCCGGGUAGCUAAGUUCGGAAGAGAUAACCGCUGAAAGCAUCUAAGCGGGAAACUUGCCUUAAGAUGAGAUUUCCCGGAGCCUUGAGCUCCUUGAAGGGUCGUUCGAGACCAGGACGUUGAUAGGUCAGGUGUGGAAGUGCAGUAAUGCAUUAAGCUAACUGAUACUAAUUGCCCGUACGGCUUGUCCCUAUAACCUU
rnacentral:rRNA from 1 species